GNCCUUUAAACAUCGNCCACGAUGCCCUAUAUUCCUCGUGUCAGCUUGCUGACUAUGGCGAUAAACGCGCUCGUAAUAACCAGACCGGACCCGGGGGCAGUACCCGGCGGCUCCACCAUUACCUUCCGCUUGUAUUGGCAAGCGAAUAUGGGGCCGAAACAGGAUCGACGGAUGGGUAAAGGAGACUGCUUUUGCCCGGGUGAGGCCCGAUACAGGCUCAUUCUUAAAGUUGCCAAUGACAACUUUGCUGAAGAAGUCCGUCUCGCUGCCUAGUCAGCGCGUCUAACUUCGACAUGAACUCCUGGGUGUUCGCACGCUCAGGCGGGGUCCGGAGGCACCUGGCAACAGAAGCCUCCACU
rnacentral:tmRNA from 1 species